AACGCACAUUGCGCCCUUUGGCAUUCCGAAGGGCAUACCUGUUCGAGCGUCAUUUCAACCCUCAAGCCUGGCUUGGUGUUGGGCGUUUUGUCCCGCCGCGUGCGCGGACUCGCCUCAAAAGAAUCGGCGUCUACAUGUGGGCCUGAUGCGUAGUAAAAUUCGCAGAUCAGGCUGGCGUGCCGGCGGCCGGAACGCAUAUAUCUUUUUGUUUGACCUCGGAUCAGGUAGGGAUACCCGCUGAACUUAA
rnacentral:misc_RNA from 1 species